GGGACACGUGAUAUCCUGUCUGAAUAUGGGGGGACCAUCCUCCAAGGCUAAAUACUACUGACUGACCGAUAGUGAACCAGUACCGUGAGGGAAAGGCGAAAAGAACCCCUGUGAGGGGAGUGAAAUAGAACCUGAAACCGUGUACGUACAAGCAGUAGGAGCAGGCUUUGUCCUGUGACUGCGUACCUUUUGUAUAAUGGGUCAGCGACUUAUAUUCAGUGGCAAGGUUAACCAUCUAGGGGAGCCGUAGGGAAACCGAGUCUUAACUGGGCGUUCAGUCUCUGGAUAUAGACCCGAAACCAGGUGAUCUAGCCAUGGGCAGGUUGAAGGUUGAGUAACAUCAACUGGAGGACCGAACCGACUAAUGUUGAAAAAUUAGCGGAUGACUUGUGGCUAGGGGUGAAAGGCCAAUCAAACCUGGAGAUAGCUGGUUCUCCCCGAAAGCUAUUUAGGUAGCGCCUCGGACGAAUACUACUGGGGGUAGAGCACUGUUAAGGCUAGGGGGUCAUCCCGACUUACCAACCCUUUGCAAACUCCGAAUACCAGUAAGUACUAUCCGGGAGACACACGGCGGGUGCUAACGUCCGUCGUGGAGAGGGAAACAACCCAGACCGCCAGCUAAGGUCCCAAAUUACUACUAAGUGGGAAACGAUGUGGGAAGGCUCAGACAGCCAGGAUGUUGGCUUAGAAGCAGCCAUCAUUUAAAGAAAGCGUAAUAGCUCACUGGUCGAGUCGGCCUGCGCGGAAGAUGUAACGGGGCUAAGUAGUAAACCGAAGCUGCGGCAAUGUGCUUUUGCACAUUGGGUAGGGGAGCGUUCUGUAAGCGGUUGAAGGUGUGUGGUAACGCAUGCUGGACGUAUCAGAAGUGCGAAUGCUGACAUGAGUAACGAUAAAGGGGGUGAAAAACCUCCUCGCCGGAAGACCAAGGGUUCCUGUCCAACGUUAAUCGGGGCAGGGUAAGUCGACCCCUAAGGCGAGGCCGAAAGGCGUAGUCGAUGGGAAACGGGUUAAUAUUCCCGUACUUCUUACAAUUGCGAUGGGGGGACGGAGAAGGCUAGGUGGGCCUGGCGACGGUUGUCCAGGUUCAAGUGCGUAGGCUUAAGAGUUAGGUAAAUCCGGCUCUUUUUAAGGCUGAGACACGACGUCGAGCACCUACGGGUGUGAAGUCAUUGAUGCCAUGCUUCCAGGAAAAGCCUCUAAGCUUCAGAUUGUAAGGAAUCGUACCCCAAACCGACACAGGUGGUCGGGUAGAGAAUACCAAGGCGCUUGAGAGAACUCGGGUGAAGGAACUAGGCAAAAUGGUACCGUAACUUCGGGAGAAGGUACGCUCUUGAUGGUGAAGUCCCUCGCGGAUGGAGCUGACGAGAGUCGCAGAUACCAGGUGGCUGCAACUGUUUAUUAAAAACACAGCACUGUGCAAAAUCGUAAGAUGACGUAUACGGUGUGACGCCUGCCCGGUGCCGGAAGGUUAAUUGAUGGGGUUAGACUUCGGUCGAAGCUCUUGAUCGAAGCCCCGGUAAACGGCGGCCGUAACUAUAACGGUCCUAAGGUAGCGAAAUUCCUUGUCGGGUAAGUUCCGACCUGCACGAAUGGCGUAAUGAUGGCCACGCUGUCUCCACCCGAGACUCAGUGAAAUUGAAAUCGCUGUGAAGAUGCAGUGUACCCGCGGCUAGACGGAAAGACCCCGUGAACCUUUACUACAGCUUGGCACUGAACAUUGACCCUACAUGUGUAGGAUAGGUGGGAGGCUUUGAAGCACGUACGCCAGUAUGUGUGGAGCCGUCCUUGAAAUACCACCCUUGUAGUGUUGAUGUUCUAACGUCGACCCCUUAUCGGGGUU
rnacentral:rRNA from 1 species